CCUUAUUGUGGCCCUGUAGUCAGCAUGACAACCCUGUAAUCAGGGUGCAUGUCACAAGUAUCUGUAGAAUCGGACAUAUUGUGCCCUUUGAUACUUUGAGGAGCUUGACCUUCCUGUAAUUCAGGUUACGGUCUCUGCUAUUUGGCUAAUCCCAGUGACCACCCUGUAAUCAGGGUACAAGUUGCAUCUCUCUUUUGAAAUCCGGGGGAUUAGAACCAUUUCAGUAACAUGGGCAGCUUGACCUCCCUGUAACUAGGGUUUGGUCUCCGAGGCCCUUUGGUCUCUUGGCCCUGUGCUUUCUUCACAGUGUGAGGUGAGUGACCAACCUGUAAUCAGGGAAUCUGGUCUUGGCCCUCUGGUCUCUUGGCACUAGGCCAAGUGAGCCAACUGGUCUGAAUGAGCACCCUGUAAACAGGGUACAGGUCUCCUCAGACACUAUUUAUGCUGCCCCCAUGAAACUGUGUCCAGAGUCCUGGCCCUUCACACUGCGCUUCCAACUUGCCGGGAAUUCUGCAGCCAAGUCUCCUGCUUUCUUCCUCAUGUACUGUGCUCUUGGAGACCCAACAUCCUGCUCACGUUGCAGGCUGCUCCAAGCACAAGUGGACAAGAAGGAAAUGUCAGGAAUGUCGAGCAAAGACGAGGAAAGAGGACAAGUCACGAAGAUGGAGAAGAAGGAAAGGGACUUUGGGCACAGUGACCUCUCUGUAAUCAGAUCUCUGGUCAUGUAAUGACACUGUAUGGGGAUCUCGAGCCUUUUAAUACCUUGAGCAGCGUGACCACCCUGUAAUUAGGGUCCAGGUCUGUGCUGUUUUGUCCUUUUGACAUUAUGCUCCGUUAGCUGGCUAGUGAGAGUGACUGCCCUGUAAUCAGGGUGCAAGUCAUCUCCCCCUGGCUUUCGAGGGAAUUGAGCUCUUCGGUAACUUGAGCAUGUGACCGCCCCGUAACUAGGGUCCAGGUCUUUGCCCACUUGCUCGUUUUGCAUUACGCCUUGUUGUAGUCCUGUUAUCAGUGUGGAAGUCAUAUUCCUAUUGCUUCUGGGGGAUACCGAGCUCUUUGGAACCCUGAGCAGUGUGACUCACCUCCCUGUAAUUUGGAGUCAGGUCUCUGCCCUCUUGCUGUUUUGGCAUCAUGCCCUGCUGAUAAUCUAGUCAAAGUGACCACCUGUAAUUGGGGUGCAUGUCACACCACUCUGUAGUAUAGGAAAUACUUAACCUUUUGAUACCGUGCGGAGCGUGACCUCCCUGUAAUUUAGGGAUAGGUCUCUACCCUUUUGCUCCCUGGCUUUAUGCACCUUUAUCUUUCUAAUCAGAGUGACCACCCUGUAAUUAGGGUGCAGGUCAAAUCCCUCUAAUUUAUCAGGGAUUAGGGUUAGUUUAGGGCCUUUAGCAGCAUGACCACCCUGUAAUCAGGGUUCAGGUCUAAACUUGUCUUCUGUGAUUAUGCUCCUUAAUUCAGCUAAUCAGAGUGACCACCUUGUAAUCAGGGUGAGAGUCAUAUUUCCCUCGCUUAUGAGAGUUACUGAUGUCUUUCUUACUUGAGCCGGGUGACCUCCCUGUAACGAGGGUUGAGGUCUCUGUCCUUUGAUCUUCUGGGAUUGUGUCUUGUUCUCAGCCUGGUCAGUUUGACUGCCCUGUAAUGAGGAUGCAGGUCAUGUGCCUCUUAUUUAGGGAGGACUAGGUUCCCCUUAGUGCUUUGGGCUGAGUGAUCACCCUGUAAGAAGGGUUCAGGUCUCCUUCUAUUUUCUUUCUUGUUAAUUAAUUAAUUAAUUAGCCAUUAAUCGGCUAGCCCAAGGGACCGCCCUGUAAGAAGGGUUCAGGUCCUUUCCCCUUUGGCUCCUUUGGGUUGUUGGGCUAGUCACUUGGAUCCCACCCUGUAAUCAGGGUGCAGGUCUUGUCCCUUUUCCCUUUGUUUUUUUGAGGGGAGGAAGAUUGGUCGAGUUUAACACUGUGGGUCGAGUGACCCGUUGCGAUGAGCUCUCUUUCUGUUCUGGGAAGUCCCCCUUUGUUUUGUACGGAUGCGUUUGCGAGAGCACGUGAUACAAGUGGGUGUGCAAGAUUUUUAAUUUUUAGUUAUUUAUUUUUAUUUUUUUACGUUAAAUCGCUGCAGCGCUUUUUCUUUACUCUUCUCAGAAUUGGAAAAAGAGCUCACAGUGUAUUAAUGUAUUUAUCCUCCUCCUCCCCACAAAAGGGAAGAGUAAGGGCUCAGAUGUCAUCUUUUAGUGCCUUGGACAGUGUGACCUCCCUGUAAACAGGAAUCUGGUCUCUCCACUUCUGCUCUGUUUAGGUAGAGCUCCUUUUAGUGGGCUGAUGGCAAUGACUGGCCUUUAAGGAGGACAAUUUAGGUCACAUGUCUGUGACUCACAGGUAGUGCAGUAUCCCUUAGUACUUGGGCAGCAUAACCACCCUGUAUCCAGGGUUCAGGUCUCUGCCCUUUAUUCUUUUGCCACCAUUCUACUUCAGCCAGUUGGUAUGAGUCCUGACCCUGUAAUUAGGGGAGAGUUUGUGUCCCUCUGGCUUCUGGGGGAUAUUGAGUUCUGUGGAGCCCUGAGCAGUGUGACCGCCCUGUAACUAGGAUCCCGGUCUUUGCCCACUUGCUCAUUUAACAUUACGCCAUGUUCUGGCCCACUAGUCAGCAUGACAACCCUGUAAUCAGGGUGCAUGUCACAAGUAUGCAUAGAAUGGGACAUAUUGAGCUCUUUGAUACUUUGAGGAGCUUGACCUUCCUCUAAUUCAGGUUAUGGUCUCUGCUAUUUGGCUAAUCCCAGUGACCACCCUGCAAUGAGGGUACAAGUUGCAUCUCUCUUUUGAAAUCCGGGGGAUUAGAACCAUUUCAGUAACAUGGGCAGCUUGACCUCCCUGUAACUAGGGUUUGGUCUCCGAGGCCCUUUGGUCUCUUGGCCCUGUGCUUUCUUCACAGUGUGAGGUGAGUGACCGCCCUGUAAUCAGGGAAUCUGGUCUUGGCCCUCUGGUCUCUUGGCACUAGGCCAAGUGAGCCAACUGGUCUGAAUGAGCACCCUGUAAACAGGGUACAGGUCUCCUCAGACACUAUUUAUGCUGCCCCCAUGAAACUGUGUCCAGAGUCCUGGCCCUUCACCCUGCACUUCCAACUUGCCGAGAAUUCUGCAGCCAAGUCUCCUGCUUUCUUCCUCAUGUACUGUGCUCUUGGAGACCCAACAUCCUGCUCACGUUGCAGGCUGCUCCAAGCACAAGUGGACAAGAAGGAAAUGUCAGGAAUGUCGAGCAAAGACUAGAAAAGAGGACAAGUCACGAAGAUGGAGAAGAAGGAAAGGGACUUUGGGCACAGUAACCUCCCUGUAAUCAGACCUCAGGUCAUGUAAUGACACUGUAUGGGGAUCUCGAGCCUUUUAAUACCUUGUGCAGCGUGACCACCCUGUAAUCAGGGUUCAGGUCUGUGCUGUUUUGUCCUUUAGACAUUAUGCUCCUUUAGCUGGCUAGUGAGAGUGACUGCCCUGUAACCAGGGUACAAGUCACCUCCCCCUGGCUUUCGAGUUAUUUGAGCUCUUCGGUAACGUGAGCAAUGUGACCGCCCUGUAACUAGGGUCCAGGUCUUUGCCCACUUGCUCGUUUAACAUUACGCCGUGUUCUGGCCCACUAGUCAGCAUGACAACCCUGUAAUCAGGGUGCAUGUCACAAGUAUCCAUAGAAUGGGACAUAUUGAGCUCUUUGAUACUUUGAGGAGCUUGACCUUCCUGUAAUUCAGGUUAUGGUCUCUGCUAUUUGGCUAAUCCCAGUGACCACCCUGUAAUCAGGGUACGGGUUGCAUCUCUCUCUUGAAAUCCGGGGGAUUAGAACCAUUUCAGUAACAUGGGCAGCUUGACCUCCCUGUAACUAGGGUUUGGUCUCCGAGGCCCUUUGGUCUCUUGGCCCUGUGCUUUCUUCACAGUGUGAGGUGAGUGACCGCCCUGUAAUCAGGGAAUCUGGUCUUGGCCCUCUGGUCUCUUGGCACUAGGCCAAGUGAGCCAACUGGUCUGAAUGAGCACCCUGUAAACAGGGUACAGGUCUCCUCAGACACUAUUUAUGCUGCCCCCAUGAAACUGUGUCCAGAGUCCUGGCCCUUCACCCUGCACUUCCAACUUGCUGAGAAUUCUUCAGCCAAAUCUCCUGCUUUCUUCCUCAUGUACUGUGCUCUUGGAGACCCAACAUCCUGCUCACGUUGCAGGCUGCUCCAAGCACAAGUGGACAAGAAGGAAAUGUCAGGAAUGUCAAGCAAAGACUAGAAAAGAGGACAAGUCACGAAGAUGGAGAAGAAGGAAAGGGACUUUGGGCACAGUAACCUCCCUGUAAUCAGACCUCAGGUCAUGUAAUGACACUGUAUGGGGAUCUCGAGCCUUUUAAUACCUUGUGCAGCGUGACCACCCUGUAAUCAGGGUUCAGGUCUGUGCUGUUUUGUCCUUUUGACAUUAUGCUCCUUUAGCUGGCUAGUGAGAGUGACUGCCCUGUAACCAGGGUGCAAGUCACCUCCCCCUGGCUUUCGAGUGAAUUGAGCUCUUCGGUAACGUGAGCAAUGUGACCGCCCUGUAACUAGGGUCCAGGUCUUUGCCCACUUGCUCGUUUGGCAUUACGCCGUGCUCUGGCCCACUAGUCAGCAUGACAACCCUGUAAUCAGGGUGCAUGUCACAAGUAUCUGUAGAAUCGGACAUAUUGUGCCCUUUGAUACUUUGAGGAGCUUGACCUUCCUGUAAUUCAGGUUACGGUCUCUGCUAUUUGGCUAAUCCCAGUGACCACCCUGUAAUCAGGGUACAAGUUGCAUCUCUCUUUUGAAAUCCGGGGGAUUAGAACCAUUUCAGUAACAUGGGCAGCUUGACCUCCCUGUAACUAGGGUUUGGUCUCCGAGGCCCUUUGGUCUCUUGGCCCUGUGCUUUCUUCACAGUGUGAGGUGAGUGACCGCCCUGUAAUCAGGGAAUCUGGUCUUGGCCCUCUGGUCUCUUGGCACUAGGCCAUGUGAGCCAACUGGUCUGAAUGAGCACCCUGUAAACAGGGUACAGGUCUCCUCAGACACUAUUUAUGCUGCCCCCAUGAAACUGUGUCCAGAAUCCUGGCCCUUCACACUGCGCUUCCAACUUGCCGGGAAUUCUGCAGCCAAGUCUCCUGCUUUCUUCCUCAUGUACUGUGCUCUUGGAGACCCAACAUCCUGCUCACGUUGCAGGCUGCUCCAAGCACAAGUGGACAAGAAGGAAAUGUCAGGAAUGUCGAGCAAAGACUAGAAAAGAGGACAAGUCACGAAGAUGGAGAAGAAGGAAAGGGACUUUGGGCACAGUAACCUCCCUGUAAUCAGACCUCAGGUCAUGUAAUGACACUGUAUGGGGAUCUCGAGCCUUUUAAUACCUUGUGCAGCGUGACCACCCUGUAAUCAGGGUUCAGGUCUGUGCUGUUUUGUCCUUUAGACAUUAUGCUCCUUUAGCUGGCUAGUGAGAGUGACUGCCCUGUAACCAGGGUACAAGUCACCUCCCCCUGGCUUUCGAGUUAUUUGAGCUCUUCGGUAACGUGAGCAAUGUGACCGCCCUGUAACUAGGGUCCAGGUCUUUGCCCACUUGCUCGUUUAACAUUACGCCGUGUUCUGGCCCACUAGUCAGCAUGACAACCCUGUAAUCAGGGUGCAUGUCACAAGUAUCCAUAGAAUGGGACAUAUUGAGCUCUUUGAUACUUUGAGGAGCUUGACCUUCCUGUAAUUCAGGUUAUGGUCUCUGCUAUUUGGCUAAUCCCAGUGACCACCCUGUAAUCAGGGUACGGGUUGCAUCUCUCUCUUGAAAUCCGGGGGAUUAGAACCAUUUCAGUAACAUGGGCAGCUUGACCUCCCUGUAACUAGGGUUUGGUCUCCGAGGCCCUUUGGUCUCUUGGCCCUGUGCUUUCUUCACAGUGUGAGGUGAGUGACCGCCCUGUAAUCAGGGAAUCUGGUCUUGGCCCUCUGGUCUCUUGGCACUAGGCCAAGUGAGCCAACUGGUCUGAAUGAGCACCCUGUAAACAGGGUACAGGUCUCCUCAGACACUAUUUAUGCUGCCCCCAUGAAACUGUGUCCAGAGUCCUGGCCCUUCACCCUGCACUUCCAACUUGCUGAGAAUUCUUCAGCCAAAUCUCCUGCUUUCUUCCUCAUGUACUGUGCUCUUGGAGACCCAACAUCCUGCUCACGUUGCAGGCUGCUCCAAGCACAAGUGGACAAGAAGGAAAUGUCAGGAAUGUCAAGCAAAGACUAGAAAAGAGGACAAGUCACGAAGAUGGAGAAGAAGGAAAGGGACUUUGGGCACAGUAACCUCCCUGUAAUCAGACCUCAGGUCAUGUAAUGACACUGUAUGGGGAUCUCGAGCCUUUUAAUACCUUGUGCAGCGUGACCACCCUGUAAUCAGGGUUCAGGUCUGUGCUGUUUUGUCCUUUUGACAUUAUGCUCCUUUAGCUGGCUAGUGAGAGUGACUGCCCUGUAACCAGGGUGCAAGUCACCUCCCCCUGGCUUUCGAGUGAAUUGAGCUCUUCGGUAACGUGAGCAAUGUGACCGCCCUGUAACUAGGGUCCAGGUCUUUGCCCACUUGCUCGUUUGGCAUUACGCCGUGCUCUGGCCCACUAGUCAGCAUGACAACCCUGUAAUCAGGGUGCAUGUCACAAGUAUCUGUAGAAUCGGACAUAUUGUGCCCUUUGAUACUUUGAGGAGCUUGACCUUCCUGUAAUUCAGGUUACGGUCUCUGCUAUUUGGCUAAUCCCAGUGACCACCCUGUAAUCAGGGUACAAGUUGCAUCUCUCUUUUGAAAUCCGGGGGAUUAGAACCAUUUCAGUAACAUGGGCAGCUUGACCUCCCUGUAACUAGGGUUUGGUCUCCGAGGCCCUUUGGUCUCUUGGCCCUGUGCUUUCUUCACAGUGUGAGGUGAGUGACCGCCCUGUAAUCAGGGAAUCUGGUCUUGGCCCUCUGGUCUCUUGGCACUAGGCCAUGUGAGCCAACUGGUCUGAAUGAGCACCCUGUAAACAGGGUACAGGUCUCCUCAGACACUAUUUAUGCUGCCCCCAUGAAACUGUGUCCAGAAUCCUGGCCCUUCACACUGCGCUUCCAACUUGCCGGGAAUUCUGCAGCCAAGUCUCCUGCUUUCUUCCUCAUGUACUGUGCUCUUGGAGACCCAACAUCCUGCUCACGUUGCAGGCUGCUCCAAGCACAAGUGGACAAGAAGGAAAUGUCAGGAAUGUCAAGCAAAGACUAGAAAAGAGGACAAGUCACGAAGAUGGAGAAGAAGGAAAGGGACUUUGGGCACAGUAACCUCCCUGUAAUCAGAUCUCAGGUCAUGUAAUGACACUGUAUGGGGAUCUCGAGCCUUUUAAUACCUUGUGCAGCGUGACCACCCUGUAAUCAGGGUUCAGGUCUGUGCUGUUUUGUCCUUUUGACAUUAUGCUCCUUUAGCUGGCUAGUGAGAGUGACUGCCCUGUAACCAGGGUGCAAGUCACCUCCCCCUGGCUUUCGAGUGAAUUGAGCUCUUCGGUAACGUGAGCAAUGUGACCGCCCUGUAACUAGGGUCCAGGUCUUUGCCCACUUGCUCGUUUGGCAUUACGCCGUGCUCUGGCCCACUAGUCAGCAUGACAACCCUGUAAUCAGGGUGCAUGUCACAAGUAUCUGUAGAAUCGGACAUAUUGUGCCCUUUGAUACUUUGAGGAGCUUGACCUUCCUGUAAUUCAGGUUACGGUCUCUGCUAUUUGGCUAAUCCCAGUGACCACCCUGUAAUCAGGGUACAAGUUGCAUCUCUCUUUUGAAAUCCGGGGGAUUAGAACCAUUUCAGUAACAUGGGCAGCUUGACCUCCCUGUAACUAGGGUUUGGUCUCCGAGGCCCUUUGGUCUCUUGGCCCUGUGCUUUCUUCACAGUGUGAGGUGAGUGACCGCCCUGUAAUCAGGGAAUCUGGUCUUGGCCCUCUGGUCUCUUGGCACUAGGCCAUGUGAGCCAACUGGUCUGAAUGAGCACCCUGUAAACAGGGUACAGGUCUCCUCAGACACUAUUUAUGCUGCCCCCAUGAAACUGUGUCCAGAAUCCUGGCCCUUCACACUGCGCUUUCAACUUGCCGGGAAUUCUGCAGCCAAGUCUCCUGCUUUCUUCCUCAUGUACUGUGCUCUUGGAGACCCAACAUCCUGCUCACGUUGCAGGCUGCUCCAAGCACAAGUGGACAAGAAGGAAAUGUCAGGAAUGUCAAGCAAAGACUAGAAAAGAGGACAAGUCACGAAGAUGGAGAAGAAGGAAAGGGACUUUGGGCACAGUAACCUCCCUGUAAUCAGAUCUCAGGUCAUGUAAUGACACUGUAUGGGGAUCUCGAGCCUUUUAAUACCUUGUGCAGCGUGACCACCCUGUAAUCAGGGUUCAGGUCUGUGCUGUUUUGUCCUUUUGACAUUAUGCUCCUUUAGCUGGCUAGUGAGAGUGACUGCCCUGUAACCAGGGUGCAAGUCACCUCCCCCUGGCUUUCGAGUGAAUUGAGCUCUUCGGUAACGUGAGCAAUGUGACCGCCCUGUAACUAGGGUCCAGGUCUUUGCCCACUUGCUCGUUUGGCAUUACGCCGUGCUCUGGCCCACUAGUCAGCAUGACAACCCUGUAAUCAGGGUGCAUGUCACAAGUAUCUGUAGAAUCGGACAUAUUGUGCCCUUUGAUACUUUGAGGAGCUUGACCUUCCUGUAAUUCAGGUUACGGUCUCUGCUAUUUGGCUAAUCCCAGUGACCACCCUGUAAUCAGGGUACAAGUUGCAUCUCUCUUUUGAAAUCCGGGGGAUUAGAACCAUUUCAGUAACAUGGGCAGCUUGACCUCCCUGUACCUUGGGUUUGUUCUCCGAAGCCCUUUGGUCUCUUGGCCCUGUGCUUUCUUCACAGUGUGAGGUGAGUGACCAACCUGUAAUCAGGGAAUCUGGUCUUGGCCCUCUGGUCUCUUGGCACUAGGCCAAGUGAGCCAACUGGUCUGAAUGAGCACCCUGUAAACAGGGUACAGGUCUCCUCAGACACUAUUUAUGCUGCCCCCAUGAAACUGUGUCCAGAGUCCUGGCCCUUCACACUGCGCUUCCAACUUGCCGGGAAUUCUGCAGCCAAGUCUCCAGCUUUCUUCCUCAUGUACUGUGCUCUUGGAGACCCAACAUCCUGCUCACGUUGCAGGCUGCUCCAAGCACAAGUGGACAAGAAGGAAAUGUCAGGAAUGUCGAGCAAAGACGAGGAAAGAGGACAAGUCACGAAGAUGGAGAAGAAGGAAAGGGACUUUGGGCACAGUGAUCUCUCUGUAAUCAGAUCUCUGGUCAUGUAAUGACACUGUAUGGGGAUCUCGAGCCUUUUAAUACCUUGAGCAGCGUGACCACCCUGUAAUUAGGGUCCAGGUCUGUGCUGUUUUGUCCUUUUGACAUUAUGCUCCGUUAGCUGGCUAGUGAGAGUGACUGCCCUGUAAUCAGGGUGCAAGUCAUCUCCCCCGGCUUUCGAGGGAAUUGAGCUCUUCGGUAACUUGAGCAUGUGACCGCCCCGUAACUAGGGUCCAGGUCUUUGCCCACUUGCUCGUUUUGCAUUACGCCUUGUUGUAGUCCUGUUAUCAGUGUGGAAGUCAUAUUCCUAUUGCUUCUGGGGGAUACCGAGCUCUUUGGAACCCUGAGCAGUGUGACUCACCUCCCUGUAAUUUGGAGUCAGGUCUCUGCCCUCUUGCUGUUUUGGCAUCAUGCCCUGCUGAUAAUCUAGUCAAAGUGACCACCUGUAAUUGGGUUGCAUGUCACACCACUCUGUAGUAUAGGAAAUACUUAACCUUUUGAUACCGUGCGGAGCGUGACCUCCCUGUAAUUUAGGGACAGGUCUCUACCCUUUUGCUCCCUGGCUUUAUGCACCUUUAUCUUUCUAAUCAGAGUGACCACCCUGUAAUUAGGGUGCAGGUCAAAUCCCUCUAAUUUAUCAGGGAUUAGGGUUAGUUUAGGGCCUUUAGCAGCAUGACCACCCUGUAAUCAGGGUUCAGGUCUAAACUUGUCUUCUGUGAUUAUGCUCCUUAAUUCAGCUAAUCAGAGUGACCACCUUGUAAUCAGGGUGAGAGUCAUAUUUCCCUCGCUUAUGAGAGUUACUGAUGUCUUUCUUACUUGAGCCGUGUGACCUCCCUGUAACGAGGGUUGAGGUCUCUGUCCUUUGAUCUUCUGGGAUUGUGUCUUGUUCUCAGCCUGGUCAGUUUGACUGCCCUGUAAUGAGGAUGCAGGUCAUGUGCCUCUUAUUUAGGGAGGACUAGGUUCCCCUUAGUGCUUUGGGCUGAGUGAUCACCCUGUAAGUAGGGUUCUGGUCUCCUUCUAUUUUCUUUCUUGUUAAUUAAUUAAUUAAUUAGCCAUUAAUCGGCUAGCCCAAGGGACCGCCCUGUAAGAAGGGUUCAGGUCCUUUCCCCUUUGGCUCCUUUGGGUUGUUGGGCUAGUCACUUGGAUCCCACCCUGUAAUCAGGGUGCAGGUCUUGUCCCUUUUCCCUUUGUUUUUUUGAGGGGAGGAAGAUUGGUCGAGUUUAACACUGUGGGUCGAGUGACCCGUUGCGAUGAGCUCUCUUUCUGUUCUGGGAAGUCCCCCUUUGUUUUGUACGGAUGCGUUUGCGAGAGCACGUGAUACAAGUGGGUGUGCAAGAUUUUUAAUUUUUAGUUAUUUAUUUUUAUUUUUUUACGUUAAAUCGCUGCAGCGCUUUUUCUUUACUCUUCUCAGAAUUGGAAAAAGAGCUCACAGUGUAUUAAUGUAUUUAUCCUCCUCCUCCCCACAAAAGGGAAGAGUAAGGGCUCAGAUGUCAUCUUUUAGUGCCUUGGACAGUGUGACCUCCCUGUAAACAGGAAUCUGGUCUCUCCACUUCUGCUCUGUUUAGGUAGAGCUCCUUUUAGUGGGCUGAUGGCAAUGACUGGCCUUUAAGGAGGACAAUUUAGGUCACAUGUCUGUGACUCACAGGUAGUGCAGUAUCCCUUAGUACUUGGGCAGCAUAACCACCCUGUAUCCAGGGUUCAGGUCUCUGCCCUUUAUUCUUUUGCCACCAUUCUACUUCAGCCAGUUGGUAUGAGUCCUGACCCUGUAAUUAGGGGAGAGUUUGUGUCCCUCUGGCUUCUGGGGGAUAUUGAGUUCUGUGGAGCCCUGAGCAGUGUGACCGCCCUGUAACUAGGACCCGGUCCCGGUCUGUAAUCAGGGUCCAGGUUUGUCCUUUUGACAUUAUGCUCCGUUGGCUGGCUAUUGAGAAUGACUGCCCUGUAAUCAGGAUGCAAGUCACCUCCCCCUCUCUUUCGAGGGACAUUGAGCUCUUUGGUAACUUGAGCAAUGUGACCGCCCUGUUACUAUGGUCUGGGUCUUUGCCCACUUGCUCGUUUGGUAUUACGCCGUGCUCCCGCCCAGUAGUCAGCAUGACAACCCUGUAAUCAGGGUGCAUGUCACAAGUAUCUGUAGAAUCGGACAUAUUGUGCCCUUUGGUACUUUGAGGAGCUUUAUCAUCCUGUAAUUCAGUUUAUGGUCUCUGUUAUUUGGCUAAUCCCAGUGACCACCCUGUAAUCAGGGUACAGGUUGCAUCUCUCUUUUGAAAUCUGGUAGAUUAGAACCAUGGGCAGCUUGACCUCCCUGUAACUAGGGUUUGGUCUCCGAGGCCCUUUGGGUCUCUUGGCAUUGUGCUUUCUUCACAGCCUGAGGCGAGUGACUGCCCUGUAAUCGGGGAUCUGGUCUUUGCCUCGAGUCUCUUGGCACUAGGCCAAGUACAGCCAGCUGGUCUGCAUGAGCACCCUGUAAACAGGGUACAGGUCUCAUCAGACACUAUAUAUGGUUACCCCCAUGAAACUGUGUCCAGAGUCCUGGCCCUUCGCACUGCGCUUCCAACUUGCCUGGAAUUCUGCAUCCAAGUUUUUUGCUUUUUGCCCUGCUUAUCUUGCUCUUGGUCACCUGUCAUCCUGCUGCUGUUACUGAAUUUCAAAUGGCAUUGCAAGUCUGCUAUAACUGUCUUGCACACUCUUUACAUCCUCUUAAGAGAAUUGGACAAAACAGAAGCAGCCAACUUAAAAACAAGAAAAGAGAUGCUAACCACCUGUGAAGAAGAAGAAAGGAAACAAAUUCUGAGAGCAAAGUACAGUUGUGUGAUCUAUUUCAAAGGUUUGUCACUAGGCACCAAGGAAUAAUUGUGAAUCUGUAAUGCAGAGACCUUAAUCACACAAGCACUAUAGGAUCAUAGCUCACUAUUAUUAAAAAUAAAUAAUAAUUUCCUAUUGGAAAUACAAAGAUGUAACUGAAGGGAAGGCAUGUGUUUGUAUUCUCCACUCAUCCUCAAUUCCUCUCUCCCCCCGCCCCCCAAAUUCAAAAAUAGUUAUGGUGGAAAGAUUAACAUUUACUCCAGGUAACACCUACCUUAAUAUUUUAAAGCUCUGUAUCUCUCAUACAUUGCUAAAAAACAAGCAAACAAAAUUAAAUGUUCUGGAAACUGGCAGUUACUCCCCCAACUUCACAACUUUCAAACAUCUACUCUACUUCAACGGUCACACCAACCAAACUGUACCACACAUUCAAUUUUAACUUUGCACCUAUUGUGUCAGAACAGUUAGAGUAUUUUUUGGUAGUUGUGUAUAUUGAUGUACGUGGUAAUAGUGGUGUUUUAAUAGGUUUUUAUGCUUAGUGAAUUAAGAGGAUGUUGGAGGAUGAUGAUGUGGAUGUUUUAUGUAGGUAUUUUUCUGUUGUUAGUAUUUGUGUAGAGGUGAAGUAUUUUGUGGUGAUGACUGUUUUUCAGGUAUUGGUUUAGUGUGAAUUGUUGAAAAAUUUAGAUGAUUUUUGCAUAUGUACAUUAUUAGAUGGACUUAGAGGGCAACGUUGAGGUUGCCUGUUUGGUGCAAUUUUAUUGGUGUGAAAGUUAAUAAAUAAAUAAAUAAAUAAAUAAAAAGUUAAUUUAGAGUACGUGUUUGAAAGCCCUGAGGUUUGAAUUUUAAGCUCAACAGGGAUCCAGGACCCACCUCAGUUCUUACUGUCAUUCCUAAUUCCAAAAUCUGGGAUGAAGAUGACCCGGCAGAAUAAAGAUAUCUCCAGAGACUUUCAGGAGUUUAGCAUUUCUGCAGCUUUACGGGAUUCCUUAAAUCUUAUUGAGUUUUACAAAGUGUAAUAAUUGUGGGAAACUUCUGCUUCUGCCAGUUAAGGGUUGAACAAUGACCUAUAUUAAGAGAUUUAUACUGACAGUUAAUUCUGUUCUGUACUAAGAUGAUUUUGCUAAUAUCUCCACUUUAUGAUGUGUGAAAUGAAUUAACUAGGUUUGAUUAUACCUACUUGACAAAAGUUGGAAUACUUCAUGUUUAAUUCAUAGAUUUAACUUUGACUGUCAUACCACAUUACUUUGCUUUCUGUAACUCUGUAUUUAUUAAUAUUUAUGUAAUUCAAUUAAUAAAAUGUAUACAUUCA